rnacentral:rRNA from 1 species
GAUGAACGCUGGCGGCGUGCCUAAUACAUGCAAGUCGAGCGAACGGACGAGAAGCUUGCUUCUCUGAUGUUAGCGGCGGACGGGUGAGUAACACGUGGAUAACCUACCUAUAAGACUGGGAUAACUUCGGGAAACCGGAGCUAAUACCGGAUAAUAUUUUGAACCGCGUGGUUCAAAAGUGAAAGACGGUCUUGCUGUCACUUAUAGAUGGAUCUGCGCUGCAUUAGCUAGUUGGUAAGGUAACGGCUUACCAAGGCAACGAUGCAUAGCCGACCUGAGAGGGUGAUCGGCCACACUGGAACUGAGACACGGUCCAGACUCCUACGGGAGGCAGCAGUAGGGAAUCUUCCGCAAUGGGCGAAAGCCUGACGGAGCAACGCCGCGUGAGUGAUGAAGGUCUUCGGAUCGUAAAACUCUGUUAUUAGGGAAGAACAUAUGUGUAAGUAACUGUGCACAUCUUGACGGUACCUAAUCAGAAAGCCACGGCUAACUACGUG